rnacentral:rRNA from 1 species
UUACGGUCAAAUCACGCUGAAACACCGGUUCUCGUACGAUCACCGACGUUAAGCAGCGUAGAGCCAGGUCAGUACUUAGAUGGGGGCCCGCUUGGGAACACCUGGUACUGUAAG